rfam:Pseudomonas sp. TTT2014-080ASC scaffold_5, whole genome shotgun sequence.
UUGGUUAGAAAUCAUUCUUAGCUUAACUCCGCAACGGAGCGAGCCACGGAGAUUCGUCACGCCGGCAACGAACUCCACAGGCAGAGACGUCUGCCGAUACAGCCACAAGCUUUAAAGGACAUACAUAACAGUCAAC